rnacentral:misc_RNA from 1 species
AGAUUGUAGUUUUAUUGUAGCAUUUGAUGUGGGGAAUGAAAAGUUCAGUGAAAUAAGCUUGCCUGAUAGUGUUGCUGAGAGAAAUGUAAUGAAAUUGGAUGUGAUGAUUACGGGCACGUCGCUUGCCCUUAUUGAGUAUGAAAAGUUUUGGCAGAGUGAUUAUUGCUGGAUAUGGGUGAUGAAAGAGUAUGGAGUGGUGAAGUCUUGGAGUAGACUGCAUAAUAUUGAUUUGAGAGGAGGAUUCAGGAAUGUUGUGGGAUUUAGGACUCACGGUGAGUUGUUGAUUUCUGCCAGAAUGGUCGGAAUGGUUUCAUACAACCCCAAGAGGAGAAACAUAAGCUAUCUUGGAAUCCAUGGCACCAAUCGCUCAUUCCAUGGUGAGCCUUUUUUCGAAAGCCUGGCUUUAGUUGGGAAAGAAGAUAGAUUUGCGCAGCAGGCAGAUUCGAAUACUGAUGUUGUUCAAGAAAUUGGAUCUGUACUGAAUAAUGGUCAACAUGGAACUGCACUGGAUAAUGGUGGAGAUAGAACUGUACUGGAUAAUGGUGGAGAUGGAACUGUACU